rnacentral:rRNA from 1 species
UGGGGAAUAUUGCACAAUGGGCGCAAGCCUGAUGCAGCCAUGCCGCGUGUAUGAAGAAGGCCUUCGGGUUGUAAAGUACUUUCAGUCGGGAGGAAGGUGGUAAGGUUAAUAACCUUGGCAAUUGACGUUACCGACAGAAGAAGCACCGGCUAACUCCGUUCCAGCAGCCGCGGUAAUACGGAGGGUGCAAGCGUUAAUCGGAAUUACUGGGCGUAAAGCGCACGCAGGCGGUUGAUUGAGUCAGAUGUGAAAUCCCCGGGCUUAACCCGGGAAUUGCAUCUGAUACUGGUCAGCUAGAGUCUUGUAGAGGGGGGUAGAAUUCCAUGUGUAGCGGUGAAAUGCGUAGAGAUGUGGAGGAAUACCGGUGGCGAAGGCGGCCCCCUGGACAAAGACUGACGCUCAGGUGCGAAAGCGUGGGGAGCAAACAGG